rnacentral:rRNA from 1 species
GGAUCAGUUGAUCGGUCGUGCCUCGGUACGUACUGGUCAAAUUGAUUCCUACCUUCUGACGAACCACGAUGUCAUUAAUUUGGUGUCGUGGGAAAUCAGGACUGUUACUUUGAAAUUAGAGUGUUUAAAGCAGGCUCGCGCUUGAAUACAUUGGCAUGGAAUAAUGAAAUAGGACGUUUGAUUCUAUUUUGUUGGUUUCUAGGAUCGACGUAAUGAUUAAUAGGGAUAGUUGGG